GGGGAAUAUUGCACAAUGGGCGAAAGCCUGAUGCAGCAACGCCGCGUGAGCGAUGAAGGCCUUCGGGUCGUAAAGCUCUGUCCUUGGGGAAGAAAAAAAUGACGGUACCCUUGGAGGAAGCCCCGGCUAACUACGUGCCAGCAGCCGCGGUAAUACGUAGGGGGCGAGCGUUAUCCGGAAUUAUUGGGCGUAAAGAGUGCGUAGGUGGUUUCCUAAGCGCGAGGUUUAAGGCGAUAGCUUAACUAUUGUUCGCCUUGCGAACUGGGUUACUUGAGUGCAGGAGAGGAAAGUGGAAUUCCUAGUGUAGCGGUGAAAUGCGUAGAUAUUAGGAGGAACACCAGUGGCGAAGGCGACUUUCUGGACUGUUACUGACACUGAGGCACGAAAGCGUGGGGAGCAAAC
rnacentral:rRNA from 1 species